rnacentral:rRNA from 1 species
AUUGAACGCUGGCGGCAUGCUUUACACAUGCAAGUCGAACGGUAACAGGCCGCAAGGUGCUGACGAGUGGCGAACGGGUGAGUAAUGCAUCGGAACGUGCCCAGUCGUGGGGGAUAACUACUCGAAAGAGUAGCUAAUACCGCAUACGAUCUAUGGAUGAAAGCGGGGUACCGCAAGGCCUCGCGCGAUUGGAGCGGCCGAUGUCAGAUUAGGUAGUUGGUGGGGUAAAGGCUCACCAAGCCAACGAUCUGCAGCUGGUCUGAGAGGACGACCAGCCACACUGGGACUGAGACACGGCCCAGACUCCUACGGGAGGCAGCAGUGGGGAAUUUUGGACAAUGGGCGCAAGCCUGAUCCAGCAAUGCCGCGUGCAGGAAGAAGGCCUUCGGGUUGUAAACUGCUUUUGUACGGAACGAAACGGCUCUGGUUAAUACCCGGGGCUAAUGACGGUACCGUAAGAAUAAGCACCGGCUAACUACGUG